CUACAGCUAUCAUACGGCGCUAGUUUUAAGCUGUACUAGGACGGAGGGUAUCACGUACUACUACAGAGAUGGGCAUCCAGCCAUCAUGGGGCAUGUCUGAAUAUUUCGCGUGUCCUUUCGGAAUGAAUAAGGUGGCUCCACGCCAAUUAUCUCGAAAUGGACUGGAAAAUAGAGAUCCGCCCGGCCGGCCAUCACAUCAUCAGCUCUAUGCUAUGCUUUAGUACUGGCUAGCACGUUGGGUGUGUCAUAUGUGUGUGAGGGUGCAAUCUGUCAAACCCUGCUCCUUAUUUAAAAGUGGCUAGAGACCAAGGGGUAAAGAUAGCAGCUCCCGGUAAAAAGAAGAAGACAAAAAAAAAUAGUACACUCCUGUUCAGGUCUAUUACUACUCGAUCGAUGAGAGCCAUAGCAUUUCAUGGGAGGAAAUUGCUUUCGCCGGAUGCAAAACACUACUUCUAAUAAAUUUUUGCAGAUUUCGUCGCAUCUUGAUCUAAUUAGUUGCAGAU
rnacentral:lncRNA from 1 species